AUCUUCAGCCUUCUGGUUCCAGCAGAUGUGCUUGUGGGCGGUGCACAGUUAACUUCUCCCGCCUGGUGGGGCUUUCAGUGUCUGCAAAGCAGCUCAAAGAUCCUGCGCUGUGUAGCCCCGAGGGAAUCAGGACCUGCCCCGAGGCUGAGCUGCUGUUUCCCUUGCUGCCCUCCCUCGUCUCUGGGCCCUCCCUUCCCUGGGUCCUGCUGGGUUUCGACCUGUAGCCCAAGUGGAAUCACCUUCUUGCCCUAGAGACUGCACCCAUAACUACGGGGCAGUUAUGUAUAGGACGGGCCUCCUCUGUUACACACUCGGAUGAAAACUUGACCUCCACGUUGGCCUCCAUCGUUCACAACCAUGCUAAACUGGAAGCGAAUGCACGAACCUGAUCUGGCCCUCUGGAUGGGAGGACCAGGUGAGGCUGCACGGCCGCCGGGGAGCAGUCCUACAGCUCACCUCUUACCAAGGGUCACCUGCGGGUUCGGUGAAGUCACGGAUGAAUGCGGCAGGGGAAACUCUCAGCUGUUUCCACAGAUGGGCCCCAGUGGGCUCGGCAUGUCUCCACCACAAUGUGUGGGACCAGGGAGAUGAAAUUCUUCAAGGUGCUGACCAUGAUUUUUGCACAAGAUCGAGAACCUUCCAGAGACUUUGCUUAGUCACUGUUCCAGUGAGCUGAUUACAGGAAAUUAAAGGCACUUGGCCUUUUGCAUAUAACAUAUGGAUUCAGACGUGAUGGUUUUGGAAACAUAGUAUUAACCAUAAAUUUAAAAAACACUGUUUUUAAAUAAAUUGUUUUUUGUUUAUGGAACAAUGUGGAUUUGCUAUGCCCCUUGACCAUCCAUUGAUUUAUGUCACAAACAUUUAUUCAAUACUUAUGCUCCUCUCACCCACUGUUACCAGGCAGUAGUUUAUGCAUCUGCACUUUUAUGGAAGACUUUAACUUUUGGCCAAAAGUCAUUCCAAUAUAUUGAAACAAGAAAAAUCUCAAAAAAUGUCCUUUUUCUUCUAUUCUAUACUUUCA
rnacentral:lncRNA from 1 species